rnacentral:lncRNA from 1 species
AGGGGAAGCAUAUGCUAAAGCAAAAUUUAAUGAGGCUCAAUCCCAAUGAUAGUGUCUUUAGCGAAACCUUAGGAAGCCCCUAGAGUUCGUGAUGACCCAAUGAAGGGCCAACCAUAGGGCAAAUCGAGGGAGCCGAGACCCCUUGCUCGACCCUACAUGUAGAUGAAGCCUCGAACCUCUCAAGGCUAGGGGACCAAAGAUGGCUUAGUG